rnacentral:rRNA from 1 species
AGAGUUAAACAGUACGUGAAAUUGUUGAAAGGGAAACGAUUGAAGCCAGUCGUACCGACGGGAAAUCAACUUCUCGAGUGCUUGUCGUGGGUGACGUGGAGCUUCACGGCCUUCGUUGCUUGCGUUAUGGUGCUUUUGGGGUGUACUUUUUCGUAUGGUAGGUCAACAUCGAUCUUGAUUGUCAUAAAAUGAUCGUAGGAAUGUAGCUUUGAUCUUGUAUUGAAGUGUUAUAGCCUUCGGUAGAUGUGAUGGUUGGGAUCGAGGAUUGCAACGAAUACCCUUUGGGCUAUCCGUCUGACCUCUGAAAGUCGCUCGGGUGUCGAAAGCUUGCUUAUGACAUUUUAGUUGGCGGUCAAAAGGUUAGAACGCGAUUACAUUCGUUAAGGAUGUUAACGUAAUGGCUUUAAACGACC